UUUCCCACUGAAGGGAAUAGUUUGACGUCCUGAAGGUUGGUUUCCUUUGGGACUGAUGGCAGGAGUGGAGCAAAGGCAAGUUUUCCCUCUCUCUGCUGAUAGACACGUGGUCGGUCACACGAGUAGAGUGAAGGGCACAGAGGGGUGUCUUUUUCAGCCUGUUUUGCCCAGAAUAAUGUAAAUAUUGCUCAGGUGGGUGGGGAGAAGAGCAGGGCUGCAGUGGGGCCGUGGCUGAGGAGCGGCAGCCACAGGAGCAAGGCUCUCCAUGUGUUUAGUCUUCUCGAAAGAACAUGCCAGAUGUUAGAAUGCAGGCAGAGCUCCCAGAGGCUGGAAGACAAUGGUGGGGGUGAGGCAGAGCCGCCUCUGCCGUGUUGUGUCUGCGCUCCCAUCACAUCCCAUUACUGUCUCCAGUGCAGAUGGCACUUUGAACCACUCCAUACACCCCCAGCC